UAAUAAUUGAGUAUAUAUCUGAUAUUUCCGUGACACCGUCUCGUUAUACAGCACCAUUAAUGUCACAAAAUAUUAAUUAUUUUGAAGACGUUCAUAAUGCAUAAAUCAAAGUUACAUAUGUAAUGUCAUACAGUUCUAAAUAACAUUAUUUCACAGUCGAAACACAUUGAGCACCUUUAUACACUAUAGAAAUGCACUCGACUAUUAAAAUACAGUCAUAUAAAUAAUUAUCUCAGAGGAGUUGGAAAUUAACCAGACGAUACGCUUAAACUAAAGAAAUACAUGAGAAUUAUGAUUCUCUGAUGCCAAUACAAUCCCCAGCUACUUGAAGAAGCAGCAGAAUAUUAUUUUCAUGUAGUAAAGCAUCCAAGAUGGCAUGAAUAGAGUGAAUCCAGAUUGAGGUCAAGUUCAUUCCUUGCAGCUUCUGCUGAUUCUCCUUCAUAUGCACCACUGCAACAAAUAUUAUAUCAACUACACACUAUCAACAAUUUGGCUAAGUAUUUACUUGUAUGCGAUAUUACACCCUUCAUUAUUACGUGACGACGUAUAUUUCACCGUACCAAAUAAGCCAAAUGAGUUUAUACCAGCUCCCAAAUUGACCAUCAACUGUAAACCUCAAAGGAUUAGUAAACCAGAGAGAGAACCUUAUUGAACAGUAGAGUUCUUUAGUUUUAAAUAACGAUUAGACUCUCUAAUAGUCUAUUUUUUUGGCAUUGAGAGCUAAAACUCUUUUCAGGCCCUGUCCUGUACUAUUUUUUUAUUUUUUUUAAUUCGUUUUUUUCAAACUUAUUUUCAACCACAUAUUCUUCCAGUAAAAUAUUUUUACACGUGGACUCAUAACUUUUCCUACUUUUUAAACACAUUUUUUGGAAAAAUAAUUUAUCACAAAAUGUACUUUGAAAAAAUCUACAUCAAUCAUGUCUUAAGAAGUUCAACAAACUCUAUACUUCUAGAAAAAUAAAUAAAAUAAAGAGAUUGCUCUUGAAGAAUAUUAG
rnacentral:lncRNA from 1 species